rnacentral:rRNA from 1 species
GACGAACGCUGGCGGCGUGCUUAACACAUGCAAGUCGAACGGAAAGGCCCUGCUUUUGUGGGGUGCUCGAGUGGCGAACGGGUGAGUAACACGUGAGUAACCUGCCCUUGACUUUGGGAUAACUUCAGGAAACUGGGGCUAAUACCGGAUAGGAGCUCCUGCUGCAUGGUGGGGGUUGGAAAGUUUCGGCGGUUGGGGAUGGACUCGCGGCUUAUCAGCUUGUUGGUGGGGUAGUGGCUUACCAAGGCUUUGACGGGUAGCCGGCCUGAGAGGGUGACCGGCCACAUUGGAACUGAGAUACGGCCCAGUCACAUACGGGUGGCAGCAGUGGGGAAUAUUGCACAAUGGGCGGAAGCCUGAUGCAGCAACGCCGCGUGCGGGGUGACGGCCUUCUGGUUGAAAACCGAUUUCGACUGUGACGAAGCGUGAGUGACGGUAAUGGGUAAAGAAGCACCGGCUAACUACGUG